CCUUCCUGUCCCAUAGGAGUUCUCAGGCAGCUUCAAUGGAAGGAGGGAGCCAAGAAGGGGGCCUGGUAUACAUUCAAAGAUGAUAAUUACGACAUGGAUUGUGUAUAUUCUUGCUCGGAAAGGUGUAGGGCUUCCCUUCCUACCAAUAACCAGUUCGGACAUUGACGUUGUGGAAAGCGAGGCUGUGUCUGUACUACAUCAUUGGUUGAAAAAAACAGAAGAAGAGGCUUCUCGGGGCAUAAAGGAAAAGCUGUCCAUCAACCACCCUUCCCAGGGUGUAAGGGAGAAGAUGUCCACUGACUCCCCUCCCACCCAUGGCCAGGACAUCCACGUGACCAGAGAUGUGGUGAAGCACCACCUCUCUAAGUCUGAUUUGUUGGCAAACCAGAGCCAAGAGGUCCUAGAGGAGAGAACACGAAUCCAGUUCAUAAGAUGGAGCCACACUCGUAUCUUCCAAGUGCCAAGUGAGAUGACAGAGGACAUCAUGCGAGAUCGAAUAGAGCAGCAUAUCCCGUCUUACAGAUGUCUCAGCUCAGGACUUCAGUAUGAGACCCUCCUCCUCAGACUGCUGAGAGCAACAGGUGGAAGUCCUUCAGGGUCCAGCAGCAACCUGUAUCAGAAGAACAUCCUUCUCUGCUUGACCUGAAGAAGGGCCAGACCUGGGCAGAAAGACUCCAGCAGUUUCCUUGGACAGUCAUGUGCGUGGGCAGCUGAGAGGACACUGGACUCCUGGCAGCAGGUUCUGUCGACCCCACCUGGCUGGAUCACCUCAGCCUGGAAAGGCUGCUGCCAAAAGUGGAGGACUUAAAGCUGGAGGCCGCCCCAAAGACGGGGAAAUGAAGAAAACGCCGUUUCUGGAGCUCCCUGAGGAAACUGAUACAGUGAUGAGGAUGAAGGCAUAGAGAAACAACCUUCAAGAAGGACUGGACGAAAGAAAGAGCAACAGCAGUCCCCAAGUUUUGCAUCUCUAUCU